rnacentral:rRNA from 1 species
GUGGGGAAUAUUGGACAAUGGGGGGAACCCUGAUCCAGCCAUGCCGCGUGUGUGAAGAAGGCCUUUUGGUUGUAAAGCACUUUAAGCGAGGAGGAGGCUACCGAGAUUAAUACUCUUGGAUAGUGGACGUUACUCGCAGAAUAAGCACCGGCUAACUCUGUGCCAGCAGCCGCGGUAAUACAGAGGGUGCAAGCGUUAAUCGGAUUUACUGGGCGUAAAGCGCGCGUAGGUGGCCACUUAAGUCAAAUGUGAAAUCCCCGAGCUUAACUUGGGAAUUGCAUUCGAUACUGGUUGGCUAGAGUAUGGGAGAGGAUGGUAGAAUUCCAGGUGUAGCGGUGAAAUGCGUAGAGAUCUGGAGGAAUACCGAUGGCGAAGGCAGCCAUCUGGCCUAAUACUGACACUGAGGUGCGAAAGCAUGGGGAGCAAACAGGAUUAGAUACCCUGGUAGUCC